rnacentral:lncRNA from 1 species
AAUCACUCAGCUGACGGGCAGGCUCCUUAUCGUGGAUGCAGGAGAGGGACCACCAGAAAGGCCCCACCAAAAAAAAGCACAUCUGGGCAGAGAAUGUCGGAACAGAAGAGCUAUGUUGUCCCUUGCACCUUGAAGUGAUGAGCAUUCGCAGAUCUCCUGACCUCAGCCUGGGGCUGCUGACGGUUCAGGUCCAUUUCAGAGAGAGAGAGAGCAACAUGCACGGGAUGAACCUCAAAAGAGAAAUUCUCUGUGAGUCUGAGGUUUUCCUCUGCUACUCCUCAGCCUCUCGUGCUUUCUGUUUGUUCAUCUCUCUCCUCUCUUGUAGCUGAGACAGGCUGUCUAGACAUUGCAGAUGUGGACAGAUGUUGGGUCUGUAAUUUAUAACAACGGCCUCCAGAAGGCAAUUCCAAUUUGUUUCGAUGUGAACUCUCUGCACUGGACUCCUGCUGCUGGCUGCCCAGCCUCCCAUCAUGGUGGUCUCUUUUCCUUCCGGAACACAGGCUCAAGGAAACUCUUUCUUCUCUCAGUUGCCUUGGCUAUGGUGUUUUAUCACAGCAACAGAAAAGUAACUAAGACAGAUAGGGAGCUGGCCAAGUCUGCAUGCUCACAAGAUUUUCCCAAGGUGCAUCAUGUCCACAGACAGCUGUAGUAGGAGCUGGAGUGAAGGCCAGCCUGGCAGUUUUGCAAGUCUUUCCUGGAGGCUGUUUCCAGAGUGGCACCUUUAGACCUCCAGGAAAGGCAGACAUGGCGGGAACGUGCUUUGUAACCACAAGCAUCCAGCAAAGAAGAAGCUAGAGACCUAAGUGUGUUCCACCACUGCCCAGGCUGACUCCUGGGUUUGUAAAACUCUGAGCUCUGAGUAUCUACCUGCUCCUUGAAGACAUUUGUGAAAGGUCUUCCUUCUCUGUGCCUGGUGCAUUCAACUCUGAUACCUUCAGAGGUGAGUGGAUUUCCAUUUCCAGAGAAUAAAAAAAAUGAGCAGAAGCCCUGCUGAACCUGGGGGCCACUAAGAAGAUGCCUCAGAGCCCCGGGCCGCAGUUAAGGUGACGAGAUGCAGCAAUUCUUUAUGAACAUUUCAUUCCUGCUCGCUACACGACGUAAAUUAGAUGGUGUGUUACAUUCGGGCAAUAAGAGAGAUAUGUCACCACGACGCUGGCCCAUUGGAUGGAGAGGGGGUUUGGCGAAGAGCGGAAAGGAUUUCACCCUGAUGUGCACACUACUGAGUGACCCCGCUCACCAGCGGCUCCGCUGAUUGCUUUGUACCUUGCAGACUUCCAUACUGGCUCAGCCUCUUGCCGGCCUCGCUCCCUCCGGGUCUCCAGCCCACCCCGCCCCUGCCUGGCUUUCUCUUGAAGCCAAAGCCAAGAGACCUACCAGAGGAGUCACAAAGGUCAUGAAGGGAUGUCUCUGUGGGGAGGAGCAAGGCGGCAGAGCAAACACCAAAAUAAAACAAAAA